rnacentral:rRNA from 1 species
UAGGGAAUCUUGGACAAUGGGCGAAAGCCUGAUCCAGCCAUGCCGCGUGAGUGAUGAAGGCCUUAGGGUUGUAAAGCUCUUUCGCCAGGGAAGAUAAUGACGGUACCUGGAUAAGAAGCCCCGGCAAACUUCGUGCCAGCAGCCGCGGUAAUACGAAGGGGGCUAGCGUUGUUCGGAAUUACUGGGCGUAAAGCGCACGUAGGCGGCUUUCCAAGUUGGAGGUGAAAUCCCCGGGCUUAACUCGGGAACUGCCUCCAAAAACUGGACGGCUCGAGUCCGAGAGAGGUGAGUGGAAUUUCCAGUGUAGAGGUGAAAUUCGUAGAUAUUGGAAAGAACACCAGUGGCGAAGGCGGCUCACUGGCUCGGUACUGACGCUGAGGUGCGACAGCGUGGGGAGCAAAACAGGAUUAGAUACCCUGGUAGUCCACGCCGUAAACGAUGGGUGCUAGUUGUCAGGCAGCUUGCUGUUUGGUGACGCAGCUAACGCAUUAAGCACCCCGCCUGGGGAGUACGGUCGCAAGAUUAAAACUCAAAGGAAUUGACGGGGUCAUAGCUGUUUCCU